AGCCAUUGAUGAAAAAACUGACACCUCGUAUGAGAGCAUAGCUCCUGAUUUUACUUGUGGUCUGAGGCUC